rnacentral:rRNA from 1 species
UAACACAUGCAAGUCGAGCGGUAACAGAUCUAGCUUGCUAGAUGCUGACGAGCGGCGGACGGGUGAGUAACGCGUAGGAAUCUACCCAGUAGCGGGGGAUAAGCCAGAGAAAUUUGGUCUAAUACCGCAUACGCCCUUCGGGGGAAAGCAGGGGCUCUUCGGACCUUGCACUAUUGGAUGAGCCUGCGUGGGAUUAGCUAGUUGGUGAGGUAAUGGCUCACCAAGGCGACGAUCUCUAGCUGGUCUGAGAGGAUGAUCAGCCACACUGGGACUGAGACACGGCCCAGACUCCUACGGGAGGCAGCAGUGGGGAAUAUUGCACAAUGGGCGAGCCUGAUGCAGCCAUGCCGCGUGUGUGUAAGAAGGCCUUAGGGUUGUAAAGCACUUUCAGUCGUGAGGAAAGGUGUGUGCUUAAUACGUACAUACUGUGACGUUAGCGACAGAAGAAGGACCGGCUAACUCCGUGCCAGCAGCCGCGGUAAUACGGAGGGUCCGAGCGUUAAUCGGAAUUACUGGGCGUAAAGCGCGCGUAGGUGGAUUGGUCAGUCAGAUGUGAAAGCCCAGGGCUCAACCUUGGAACUGCAUCUGAUACUGCUAGUCUAGAAUACAGUAGAGGGUAGUGGAAUUUCCUGUGUAGCGGUGAAACGCGUAGAUAUAGGAAGGAACACCAGUGGCGAAGGCGACUACCUGGACUGAUAUUGACACUGAGGUGCGAUAGCGUGGGGAGCAAACAGGAUUAGAUACCCUGGUAGUCCACGCCGUAAACGAUGUCUACUAGCCGUUGGAAGACUUGAUCUUUUAGUGGCGAAGCUAACGCGAUAAGUAGACCGCCUGGGGAGUACGGCCGCAAGGUUAAAACUCAAAUGAAUUGACGGGGGCCCGCACAAGCGGUGGAGCAUGUGGUUUAAUUCGACGCAACGCGAAGAACCUUACCAACUCUUGACAUCCAGAGAAGAGGCUAGAGAUAGCUUGUGCCUUCGGGAACUCUGAGACAGGGUGCUGCAUGGCUGUCGUCAGCUCGUGUUGUGAAAUGUUGGGUUAAGUCCCGUAACGAGCGCAACCCUUGUCCUUAUUUGCCAGCACGUAAUGGUGGGAACUCUAAGGAGACUGCCGGUGACAAACCGGAGGAAGGUGGGGACGACGUCAAGUCAUCAUGGCCCUUACGAGUUGGGCUACACACGUGCUACAAUGGCCGGUACAGAGGGCUGCAAACCUGCGAAGGUAAGCUAAUCUCACAAAACCGGUCGUAGUCCGGAUUGGAGUCUGCAACUCGACUCCAUGAAGUCGGAAUCGCUAGUAAUCGUGAAUCAGAAUGCCACGGUGAAUACGUUCCCGGGCCUUGUACACACCGCCCGUCACACCAUGGGAGUGGAUUGCACCAGAAGUAGCUAGCUUAACCUUCGGGAGGGCGGUUACCACGGUGUGGUUCAUGACUGGGGUG